AGUGAACGCUGGCGGUAGGCCUAACACAUGCAAGUCGAACGGCAGCACAGUAAGAGCUUGCUCUUACGGGUGGCGAGUGGCGGACGGGUGAGGAAUACAUCGGACUCUACUUUUUCGUGGGGGAUAACGUAGGGAAACUUACGCUAAUACCGCAUACGACCUACGGGUGAAAGCAGGGGAUCUUCGGACCUUGCGCGAUUGAAUGAGCCGAUGUCGGAUUAGCUAGUUGGCGGGGUAAAGGCCCACCACGGCGACGAUACGUAGCUGGUCUGAGAGGAUGAUCAGCCACACUGGAACUGAGACACGGUCCAGACUCCUACAGGAGGCAGCAGUGGGGAAUAUGGGACAAGGGGCGCAAGCCUGAUGCAGCCAUACCGCGUGGGUGAAGAAGGCAUUCGGGUUGUAAAGCCCUUUUGUUGGGAAAGAAAAGCAGCAGGUUAAUACCACGCUGUUCUGACGGUACCCAAAGAAUAAGCACCGGCUAACUUCGUG
rnacentral:rRNA from 1 species